GGCGGCGUGCCUAACAUAUGCAAGUCGUACGAGAAAGCCGGCUUCGGCUGGUGAGUAAAGUGGCGCACGGGUGAGUAACGCGUGGAUAAUCUGCCCUUAAGUGUGGAAUAACGUACCGAAAGGUGCGCUAAUACCGCAUAAUGCCUGGCAACACAAGUUGUCCGGCCCAAAGAAGGCCUCUGUUUACAAGCUUUCGCUUCAGGAUGAGUCCGCGUACCAUUAGCUUGUUGGUGGGGUAAUGGCCUACCAAGGCUGCGAUGGUUAGCUGGUCUGAGAGGAUGAUCAGCCACACUGGAACUGAGACACGGUCCAGACUCCUACGGGAGGCAGCAGUGAGGAAUAUUGCGCAAUGGGGGCAACCCUGACGCAGCAACGCCGCGUGAGUGAGGAAGGUUUCGGACCGUAAAGCUCUGUCGAGUGGGAAGAAGUGUAUCAUGGCUAAUAUCCGUGAUAUUUGACGGUACCGCUAGAGGAAGCACCGGCUAACUCCGUG
rnacentral:rRNA from 1 species